UAGUUUGGGCAACCUAAUUGUAUACAUCAGUUGCUAAAAUUGUCCACUACACAGUACAAAUAGGCUGUUUAUUUCGCUUUGUUUUGACCUACUCUAUCACACUGAAAAUCACAAGUAAUAUAAAAGUAUUUUUUACCUUUACAAAAUAACGUCUUUCCAAAAUUUCUUGGGGUUUGAAGAUUCAUUCACUGUCUUUCACUAGCCAGGAUGAUUCUUACUACUUGUGCAACUCGAAACAAAUGUUAAAAUGUCGAAGAGAAGGCAAACACCGAGGCAAACUCCAAAACAAAAGCUAAAAUAUUUUUUCGAAAAUCAGGG